rnacentral:rRNA from 1 species
UGGGGAAUUUUGGACAAUGGACGCAAGUCUGAUCCAGCCAUUCCGCGUGCAGGAUGAAGGCCCUCGGGUUGUAAACUGCUUUUGGACGGAACGAAAAGGUCUUUCCUAAUACGGGAGGCUCAUGACGGUACCGUCAGAAUAAGCACCGGCUAACUACGUGCCAGCAGCCGCGGUAAUACGUAGGGUGCAAGCGUUAAUCGGAAUUACUGGGCGUAAAGCGUGCGCAGGCGGUUAUGUAAGACAGGUGUGAAAUCCCCGGGCUUAACCUGGGAACUGCAUUUGUGACUGCAUAGCUAGAGUACGGUAGAGGGGGAUGGAAUUCCGCGUGUAGCAGUGAAAUGCGUAGAUAUGCGGAGGAACACCGAUGGCGAAGGCAAUCCCCUGGACCUGUACUGACGCUCAUGCACGAAAGCGUGGGGAGCAAACA